UGGAUUCCUCGCUUUGACUGUCUUCCAUGU
rnacentral:piRNA from 2 species